UACGUAGGUGGCAAGCGUUGUCCGGAUUGACUGGGCGUAAAGCGCACGCAGGCGGUCGUGCGCGUGGGGUGUGAAAUCUGGCCGCUUAACGGCCAGGCGCCAUCCCAUACGGCACGACUGGAGGGCUGCAGAGGUCGAUGGAAUUGCCGGUGUAGUGGUGAAAUGCGUAGAGAUCGGCAGGAACACCCAGGGGGAAACCAGUCGACUGGGCAGCACCUGACGCUGAGGUGCGAGAGCGUGGGGAGCGAACCGG
rnacentral:rRNA from 1 species